rnacentral:misc_RNA from 1 species
UUUCCGUAGGUGAACCUGCGGAAGGAUCAUUACCGUGGGGGCCCCUCGCCGGGCCCCCGCCGAGGUAGAACCCUUGAAUUUGAAGCACCGAACGCGUUUCCUCGGCGGGCCCGCCCGCCAACGGGGACCAACCAAAAACCCAAACCGAAGUAAAGUAGUCAAACACCGUACCUAAAACAAACAAAUCAAAACUUUCAACAACGGAUCUCUUGGUUCUGGCAUCGAUGAAGAACGCAGC